GAGUACGCGNGACUACNCGCGUAUACGGAGGGGAGUGACUACUUAAGAAAGUAGGUGACUAAUACCGCAUAAGCGCACGGUUCCGCAUGGAACAGUGUGAAAAACUCCGGUGGUAUACGAUGGAUCCGCGUCUGAUUAGCCAGUUGGCGGGGUAACGGCCCACCAAAGCGACGAUCAGUAGCCGGCCUGAGAGGGUGAACGGCCACAUUGGGACUGAGACACGGCCCAAACUCCUACGGAAGGCAGCAG
rnacentral:rRNA from 1 species